GAUGAACGCUGGCGGCGUGCCUAAUACAUGCAAGUCGAGCGAAUGGAUUAAGAGCUUGCUCUUAUGAAGUUAGCGGCGGACGGGUGAGUAACACGUGGGUAACCUGCCCAUAAGACUGGGAUAACUCCGGGAAACCGGGGCUAAUACCGGAUAACAUUUUGAACCGCAUGGUUCGAAAUUGAAAGGCGGCUUCGGCUGUCACUUAUGGAUGGACCCGCGUCGCAUUAGCUAGUUGGUGAGGUAACGGCUCACCAAGGCAACGAUGCGUAGCCGACCUGAGAGGGUGAUCGGCCACACUGGUACUCAGACACGGCCCAGACUCCUACGGGAGGCAGCAGUAGGGAAUCUUCCGCAAUGGACGAAAGUCUGACGGAGCAACGCCGCGUGAGUGAUGAAGGCUUUCGGGUCGUAAAACUCUGUUGUUAGGGAAGAACAAGUGCUAGUUGAAUAAGCUGGCACCUUGACGGUACCUAACCAGAAAGCCACGGCUAACUACGUGCCAGCCGCCGCGGUAA
rnacentral:rRNA from 1 species